CUUGGGAUACCACCCUUGUAGUACUGGGACUCUAACCAUAGGCCAUGAAUCUGGUCUUGGGACACUGUCAGGUGGGCAGUUUGACUGGGGCGGUCGCCUCCCAAAAGGGAACGGAGGCGCUCAAAGGUUCUCUCAGUACGGUCGGAAAUCGUACGUAGAGUGUAAAGGCAAAAGAGAGCUUGAUUGCAAGACAUACAGGUCGAGCAAGGAUGAAAAUCGGACUUAGUGAUCCGGUG
rnacentral:rRNA from 1 species